GCCUUGUUCAUCUAGUGGUUAGGAUAUCAGCUUGUGGUCAAGAAAUUGGUUCAAGCCGCUGAAAACACUGGUUCGAUUCCAGUACAGGGCA
rfam:Neonectria ditissima strain R09/05 contig_393, whole genome shotgun sequence.